ensembl:snRNA U6 U6 spliceosomal RNA
GUGCUUGCCUUCUGCACAUAUACUAAAACUGGAACAACACGGAGAGGAUCAGUGUGGCCCCUGAACUAGGAGGACACAUACAUUUGUGAAGUGUUCCCUAUUUGA